UCCUGCAAUUUUGUCCCCAUCUGAUCAUACCAGACUUGCUGCUCACACACCUAAGAUGGCUCCCAUGUCACAAUUGCCUCCAAAAUUGUCACCGUUGCAUCAUGUGUCCUAUGCUUCAAGUUCAGCAGGCCAGUUGUCUCCAUCGAUUCCUCCGCCUUCAUUGGCAGGAUCCAUGUCAUCUCUGGCUAUUGGUACCUUCUACAAGGAGAUAUUGUUACUGGAAGUUUCUGCACUGUUGAUCUUCUAUCUCUUCUGUCUGCCAUAUUGGUAGUUCAUUUUCUUGUAGUACCCCAAAAUAAAAAUAAAAAAAGAAAAGGAAAUAUUUUGCAGCGUAUGGAAGGGAGCUGAUUCUGGUAUCCAAAUUUUGUUCCUGUAAGGAUGGUAGAAGCUUCUUCGGAAAAAAGUAGUCUUUUUUUCUCUUUCCCUCAGAUAUGAAACAUAUAUGUAAAGACCCAGAAGAUCAAGCAGCUGGUCAAAGCCAGAAAGGUGGCAGGCCUCUCGCCUUACUUUGACUUGUGAUCUUAAAAAAAAAAAAGAAGAAAAGAUUGGAUGUGCUUCCCAAAGGGAACAAACUCCUAGGUGUGACUAGUGUAGUCAAGAAAACAAACAUUGACUCUUACAUGUGUAAAGGAGAACUUUCCCUUGUAUUUGAAUCAAGUGUAAAAAAUGCACGUUCUUUUUGAGCCCUCUGCAUUGAGUGCAAAGUGUUGUAAUUGAAAGAUUGGAACAGCUAGUCUUACAGUUACAUAAUAAUAAUACCCAUGGAAAGAGAGAAUAUAGCUUCAACAAUUUCAGA